GACGAACGCUGGCGGCGUGCUUAACACAUGCAAGUCGAACGGAAAGGCCCUGCUUUUGUGGGGUGCUCGAGUGGCGAACGGGUGAGUAACACGUGGGUAACCUGCCCUUGACUUUGGGAUAACUUCAGGAAACUGGGGCUAAUACCGGAUAGGAGCUCCUGCUGCAUGGUGGGGGUUGGAAAGUUUCGGCGGUUGGGGAUGGACUCGCGGCUUAUCAGCUUGUUGGUGGGGUAGUGGCUUACCAAGGCUUCGACGGGUAGCCGACAUGAGAGGGUGACCGGCGACACUGGAAGGGAGACACGGUCCAGAGGCAUACGGGAGGCAGCGGUAGGGAAGCUGCCGCAAUGGGCGAGAGCCUGACGGAGCAACGCGGCGGGAGUGAUGAAGGUCUUCGGAUCGUAAAACUGGGUUAGUAGGGAAGAACAAAUGUGUAAGGAACUGGGCACAUCUUGACGGUACCUAAUCAGAAAGCCACGGCUAACUACGUG
rnacentral:rRNA from 1 species